CGCCAUGGCAGGGCCUCGUCCAUCCAGCCUGGGCCGCGCUGGCCGGAGCAGACCGCAAGCGGCCCGCUGGGAGCCCAGCCAAGAGCGGUGUUUUUCCAGGUCCGCGCAGGGCCACGGGAACCCGCGUGUUUGUUUGGUGGGAAUGGAUUCCUGGAAAACUAGACGGAAGGCUCUCCCAGCUGCUGGCUCCGCUCUGUUGAUGGAUACCAUCCAGUGUCACCACAGGGGCUUCCAGUGCCUGGAAUUUUGGUGGGAGGAGAGCAACUUCAGGAAUGAAGGAGGAGGUAACAGCAGCAGAGAUUCAAGGCAGAACUUGGGGAGACGCCCAUCAAAGCAGGUGAGGAUGGGGAAAAAGGACCGAGGGUGGGCCCAUCGGUCCGUUCCAGAACUCCCACUGGACUGUCAAACGGGGUUGAGCGGACAGCUGAGCCCUGGAGCCUGGGGACGAGAUGUUCCAUCCUCUGAGCAGACUGAGGCCGGAUGUCGGCUUGGAGCCGACGCCGCACCAGCUCCAGCUCCCUUCCUUGGCUGCAGGGUCUUCUUUGGAGUGAGGGUCGGCCCUCUCGGCGCCUCAGGGAGCGCAGGGCCCUUCGGAGGCAAGUGGUGUGGGGGCCUCUCCCAUGUGGGGGGCUCUGUUAGACCUCCUUCCUUCCUCUUCUCGUUGGCGGCGAGGCUGGAGGGUGUGCUUUUUCCAGACCCUUCUCUCUCACGAGUCUGAACAGUCAGAGGAAGCGGC
rnacentral:lncRNA from 9 species